rnacentral:rRNA from 1 species
GAUGGACGCUGGCGGCGUGCCUAAUACGUGCAAGUCGAGCGAACGGACGAGAAGCUUGCUUCUCUGAUGUUAGCGGCGGACGGGUGAGUAACACGUGGAUAACCUACCUAUAAGACUGGGAUAACUUCGGGAAACCGGAGCUAAUACCGGAUGAUAUUUUGAACCGCAUGGUUCAAAAGUGAAAGACGGUCUUGCUGUCACUUAUAGAUGGAUCCGCGCUGCAUUAGCUAGUUGGUAAGGUAACGGCUUACCAAGGCAACGAUGCAUAGCCGACCUGAGAGGGUGAUCGGCCACACUGGAACUGAGACACGGUCCACACUCCUACGGGAGGCAGCAGUAGGGAAUCUUCCGCAAUGGGCGAAAGCCUGACGGAGCAACGCCGCGUGAGUGAUGAAGGUCUUCGGAUCGUAAAACUCUGUUAUUAGGGAAGAACAUAUGUGUAAGUAACUGUGCACAUCUUGACGGUACCUAAUCAGAAAGCCACGGCUAACUACGUG